UCGCACCUACCGAUUGAAUGAUUCGGUGAAAAUUUCGGACUGCAGCUUCGCUCUCUUCAUUGAAGGCGUUGUCGCGGGAAGUUAUUUAAACCUCAUUAUUUAGAGGAAGGUG
rnacentral:rRNA from 1 species